UGAAUGCAAAUUUUGGAAUGCAUGACAAGGUUCUUUUGGAGCUUCAGGAGCGAGCAACCAAAUUGAAGGAAAUAGACUUUGAUUGUAAACUAUUUAGUUUUUUGUUUCAUUGCAGGAGCUAGAAAAGAACAGGCAAGUCAAGUGACUGAUUUUUGUAGCAGAGAUGUUCACGAGGCUAGAAGGAACAACCUUAGUUGAGGCAUUUCUACAUAAAUAUGAAGGCUUCUGCACGUCCAAGUGUUGUUUGUGGUGGUACCUAUGUGCUAAAUAAGCCAGAUGGUCAGAUCUCCGAGUUUCUUCUUGGAUGCCCUAUUUCACGAUGUUGAAGGGAGAAUGCAUUUGGUUUAUAUUCCAGGUGUCGUCAGCUAUACCAAGCAGCUAGACAAUAUGUAUCCUCCAAACUUGGUUUCUUUCUUUGCAAUGGAACAGGGUUGCCUCAAACGAUUGAAAUUUACAUCAAAUGAGGCAUACAGGAGGCCGUUGGAUGGGUUCCAAUGGUUCAAGUUGUCCUGGCUGCAUUAGGUUUCAUUGUGUUUGGAGGAGGUAGUGUUGAUCCCGGUUCUGGGGAAUUGAUUUGGGCAACUUUUGAAGUUUGGUUCUCAUAUAUUGGUCCUGAAAGAUAUUUUUGUGCAAGUGGCCAAUUGAUGUUACGCUUAUUUGAAAGCCAAGCCUGCUGUGGAACCCUGAGCAAGGUGCAGUUCCCCUCCAAGUUACCCUCCAAGUGUGCAGCGUGUGAUCCACCAUGUUGAGCAAUGCUGCAUUUACUCUGAGCAAUUUUUUUUAGUAAAAUUAGAGCUUAAAUAAGCUAGCCAGUGGCAGCUAAAUGCCCAGAUAGGUUGAGAUGUUGAUGGAGCUGAUAGGCUCUAUUACUUCAUGGAUUAAUGAUUGCUGGUAUCACUAGGAUAGUAGUUAAUGAAUCUUGAAAUCAUGUCUCGCCAUGCAUAAUUUUGCCGAUUGGUGUAACCAUGUUAUCUAUGAUAUUGGUUGCUGUUUUGAGUACAAGAAAAUAAAGAUCCGGGGCACUGAAAGCAUCCUUAUUUGUAGUUGAA